GACGAACGCUGGCGGCGUGCUUAACACAUGCAAGUCGAACGGAAAGGCCCUGCUUUUGUGGGGUGCUCGAGUGGCGAACGGGUGAGUAACACGUGAGUAACCUGCCCUUGACUUUGGGAUAACUUCAGGAAACUGGGGCUAAUACCGGAUAGGAGCUCCUGCUGCAUGGUGGGGGUUGGAAAGUUUCGGCGGUUGGGGAUGGACUCGCGGCUUAUCAGCUUGUUGGUGGGGUAGUGGCUUACCAAGGCUUUGACGGGUAGCCGGCCUGAGAGGGUGACCGGCCACAUGGGGACUGGGAUACGGCCCAGACUCCUACGGGAGGCAGCAGUGGGGAAUAUUGCGCAAUGGGCGGAAGCCUGAUGCAGCAACGCCGCGUGCGGGAUGACGGCCUUCGGGUUGUAAACCGCUUGCGCCUGUGACGAAGCGUGAGUGACGGUAAUGGGUAAAGAAGCACCGGCUAACUACGUG
rnacentral:rRNA from 1 species